GAUUCCAAUCGAUACGCCUAUUUCUCUUCCCCUCUCGGAGCUUCAAUUUUACUUCGAACCCUAGCUGUUUAUGUUUUCAAUCUUCCAUUUCUUGUUAGACACUAGGGCCGAUGGUAUGUUUUUCUUUUUAUAUAUGCUAGUUGCUAGUUUGGUUUAUUUUUAGGCAAGAGAAAUUUAGUAAGAGAUUAUUAGACUGGGGUAGGCAAGACUGCAGAAUAUAAGGGUUGUGAUUGCAAGAUCUAAAAACAUGAAUUGCUAACAAUUUUGAAAAGUUUGUGACCAGUCUGGUAUGCGUCUAAGUUUAAGGCCUGAAUGUUAAAUCUUUCUUCUUGGAAAUAUUCGAAUUGUUUGAAUUUUCUCUUGGAGUUAUCUGUUAUUAAAAUGGCUUUAGUCUAAAGUAAUCAUGCUAGAGCUUGCUCUUUCAAAUAAUGAUCUGUGACUUUGUUGUGUCAUUUUUAUUCAUUGUGUAUUUGGUUCAGGAAUUUAAUGCAAGUGAAAUGAUUGUCUAAUCAAGCUAGUUGAAAAGUAUGGUGUAGAAGAUGGUCUAUCAUUGCAAAGUUUUUACCAGGUCGAAUAGUAUGGUAACAAGUGGGUAGAAAUAACAAGGUUUCUACCUGGAAGGUAGCUUUUAAUUGGUUUUCUAGCUUUCUAAUCUUAGUCUUAGCUGUUGAUUGGUUUUUCAGCUUUGUACUCUUAGUCUCAGCUUACUUUUGCUGCCUGAAUCAAACUGGAUAAAAUACACCAUUAUCGAUUAGUAACUUCUAUUGAUUUCAUAGUUAUCUUCUGUUGAAAAAUGAUAGGACUGACAAUGCAAUUAUAAAUGACUGGAAUGGCGCAUUCAAGAGGAAAGAACAUGCAUACUCUCCUAAUGGUAAAUGGGACAUGCAUCCUGAUAUAAUCACAUGCUGAUUCAAGACGUCAAGAAGCACAGCGUCUUGGUCGUAUUCUGAGGGCUAAGGUUAUCAAGGCAAAUGCUGGUCUUACCCCUGAGCAUUAUCAGUUUUUCCUGUACCAGCUUGUUCGUGGUUUAAAGUAUAUUCAUACAGCAAAUGUAUUUCAUCAAGAUUUAAAGCCAAAAAAUAUCCUUACUAAUGCUGACUGCAAAUUAAAGAUAUGAGACAUUGGGCUUGCUCGAGUAUCUUUCAAUGAUGCCCCAUCUGCUAUUUUUUGGACUGAUUAUGUUGCAACUUGAUGGUACCGAGCCUCUGAACUUUGUGGGUCAUUUUUCUCAAAA